GACGAACGCUGGCGGCGCGCUUAACACAUGCAAGUCGAGCGAAGCGGCGGACGGGUGAGUAACACGUGAGUAACCUGCCUUAGACAUUGGGAUAGCCUCGGGAAACCGGGAUUAAUACCAAAUGGUCUAAGAUGGACUGGCGUCCUAUCAGCUUGUUGGUGGGGUAGUGGCCUACCAAGGCGACGACGGGUCGCCGGCAUGGGAGCGGGACCGGCGACAUUGGGACUGAGAGACGGACCAGACUCUACGGGAGGCAGCAGGGGGGAAUAUUGCAGAAUGGGGGAGACCCUGAUGCAGCAACGCCGGGAGCGGGAUGACGGGUUGCUGGUUGAAAACCGCUUUCAGACAUGACGCGGUAGUGGCAGAAGAAGCACCGGCUAACUACGUGCCAGCAGCCGCGGUAAUAC
rnacentral:rRNA from 1 species